UAGAGUGUAGCUAAGAAGAAUAGCAUUUCCCUUACACCGAAAAGGCGCUCGUGCAAGUCGAGCCAUUCUAA
rnacentral:tRNA from 2 species